AUGAGAUCGGUGCUCGGUCUCUCCCAUUGGUGUUCCUUGCUGCUUCUCCUCUCGCUGGUGACGGCUUCGCGGGGGCUCGAGGUCGGCGACCUCUUCAGCCAUGGGAAACCACCGGCGGGGAAGCAGGACUGCAGCCGGACAUGCGAGUCCAAGUUUUGCACGGUCCCGCCUGUGCUGAGGUACGGGAAAUACUGCGGAAUCCUCUACAGCGGCUGCCCCGGCGAGAAGCCCUGCGACGCCCUGGACGCCUGCUGCAUGGUCCACGACCACUGCGUCGCCGCCAACAACAAUGACUACCUGAACACCGGGUGCAACGAGAACCUGCUGGGCUGCCUCGACGGGGUGAACCCGGCGGGGCCGACGUUCCCGGGGAACAAGUGCGGCGUCGGCGAGACGGCGUUCGUCAUAAAGGGCGUCAUCGAGGCGGCCGUGCUCGCGGGGAAGAUCCUUCACAAGCGCGACAUCGGGCAGUAG
rnacentral:rRNA from 1 species